rnacentral:rRNA from 1 species
AUUGAACGCUGGCGGCAUGCCUUACACAUGCAAGUCGAACGGCAGCGGGGGAGAAGCUUGCUUUUCCUGCCGGCGAGUGGCGAACGGGUGAGUAAUACAUCGGAACGUGCCCUGUAGUGGGGGAUAACUAGUCGAAAGAUUAGCUAAUACCGCAUACGACCUGAGGGUGAAAGUGGGGGACCGCAAGGCCUCAUGCUAUAGGAGCGGCCGAUGUCUGAUUAGCUAGUUGGUGGGGUAAAGGCCUACCAAGGCGACGAUCAGUAGCUGGUCUGAGAGGACGAUCAGCCACACUGGGACUGAGGCACGGCCCAGACUCCUACGGGAGGCAGCAGUGGGGAAUUUUGGACAAUGGGCGAAAGCCUGAUCCAGCAAUGCCGCGUGUGUGAAGAAGGCCUUCGGGUUGUAAAGCACUUUUGUCCGGAAAGAAAUGGCUCUGGUUAAUACCUGGGGUCGAUGACGGUACCGGAAGAAUAAGGACCGGCUAACUACGUGCCAGCAGCCGCCGUAACAC